UACGAAGGGGACUAGCGUUGUUCGGAUUUACUGGGCGUAAAGCGCACGUAGGCGGAUAUUUAAGUCAGGGGUGAAAUCCCGGGGCUCAACCCCGGAACUGCCUUUGAUACUGGGUAUCUCGAGUCCGAGAGAGGUGAGUGGAAUUCCGAGUGUAGAGGUGAAAUUCGUAGAUAUUCGGAGGAACACCAGUGGCGAAGGCGGCUCACUGGCUCGGUACUGACGCUGAGGUGCGAAAGCGUGGGGAGCGAACAGG
rnacentral:rRNA from 1 species